rnacentral:rRNA from 1 species
AACCUGGCGGCGUGCCUAACCAUGCAAGUCGAGCGGGGACAUAUAAUGAAGCGGAAGUUUUCGGAUGGAAGCGGAGUGAUAUGUUCUAGCGGCGGACGGGUGAGUAACGCGUGAGCAAUCUGUCCUUCGCAGGGGGAUAACACGGCGAAAGUUGUACUAAUACCGCAUGAGACCACAGUGUUGCAUGACACAGGGGUCAAAGGAGUAACAUCUGGUGGGGGGUGAGCUCGCGUCCGAUUAGAUAGUAGGUGAGGUAACGGCCCACCUAGUCGACGAUCGGUAGCCGACCUGAGAGGGUGAUCGGCCACAUUGGGACUGAGACACGGCCCAAACUCCUACGGGAGGCAGCAGUGGGGAAUAUUGGGCAAUGGGGGGAACCCUGACCCAGCAACGCCGCGUGGAGGAAGAAGGUUUUCGGAUUGUAAACUCCUGUCCUUGGUGAAGAGGGAGAGACGGUAGCCAAGGAGGAAGCCCCGGCUAACUACGUGCCAGCAGCCGCGGUAAU